CAAUUUAAACAACGAAGAGUUUGAUCCUGGCUCAGGAUGAACGCUAGCGACAGGCUUAACACAUGCAAGUCGAGGGGCAGCGGGGGUAGCGAUACCCGCCGGCGACCGGCGCACGGGUGAGUAACGCGUAUGCAACUUGCCUAUCAGAGGGGGAUAACCCGGCGAAAGUCGGACUAAUACCGCAUGAAGCAGGGAUCCCGCAUGGGAAUAUUUGCUAAAGAUUCAUCGCUGAUAGAUAGGCAUGCGUUCCAUUAGGCAGUUGGCGGGGUAACGGCCCACCAAACCGACGAUGGAUAGGGGUUCUGAGAGGAAGGUCCCCCACAUUGGUACUGAGACACGGACCAAACUCCUACGGGAGGCAGCAGUGAGGAAUAUUGGUCAAUGGGCGCGAGCCUGAACCAGCCAAGUCGCGUGAGGGAUGAAGGUUCUAUGGAUCGUAAACCUCUUUUAUAAGGGAAUAAAGUGCGGGACGUGUCCCGUUUUGUAUGUACCUUAUGAAUAAGGAUCGGCUAACUCCGUGCCAGCAGCCGCGGUAAUACGGAGGAUCCGAGCGUUAUCCGGAUUUAUUGGGUUUAAAGGGUGCGUAGGCGGCCUUUUAAGUCAGCGGUGAAAGUCUGUGGCUCAACCAUAGAAUUGCCGUUGAAACUGGGGGGCUUGAGUAUGUUUGAGGCAGGCGGAAUGCGUGGUGUAGCGGUGAAAUGCUUAGAUAUCACGCAGAACCCCGAUUGCGAAGGCAGCCUGCCAAGCCAUGACUGACGCUGAUGCACGAAAGCGUGGGGAUCAAACAGGAUUAGAUACCCUGGUAGUCCACGCAGUAAACGAUGAUCACUAGCUGUUUGCGAUACAUUGUAAGCGGCACAGCGAAAGCGUUAAGUGAUCCACCUGGGGAGUACGCCGGCAACGGUGAAACUCAAAGGAAUUGACGGGGGCCCGCACAAGCGGAGGAACAUGUGGUUUAAUUCGAUGAUACGCGAGGAACCUUACCCGGGUUUGAACGCAUUCGGACCGAGGUGGAAACACCUUUUCUAGCAAUAGCCGUUUGCGAGGUGCUGCAUGGUUGUCGUCAGCUCGUGCCGUGAGGUGUCGGCUUAAGUGCCAUAACGAGCGCAACCCUUGCCACUAGUUACUAACAGGUAAAGCUGAGGACUCUGGUGGGACUGCCAGCGUAAGCUGCGAGGAAGGCGGGGAUGACGUCAAAUCAGCACGGCCCUUACAUCCGGGGCGACACACGUGUUACAAUGGCGUGGACAAAGGGAAGCCACCUGGCGACAGGGAGCGAAUCCCCAAACCACGUCUCAGUUCGGAUCGGAGUCUGCAACCCGACUCCGUGAAGCUGGAUUCGCUAGUAAUCGCGCAUCAGCCAUGGCGCGGUGAAUACGUUCCCGGGCCUUGUACACACCGCCCGUCAAGCCAUGGGAGCCGGGGGUACCUGAAGUCCGUAACUGCGAGGAUCGGCCUAGGGUAAAACUGGUGACUGGGGCUAAGUCGUAACAAGGUAGCCGUACCGGAAGGUGCGGCUGGAACACCUCCUUUCU
rnacentral:rRNA from 1 species